rnacentral:rRNA from 2 species
UUGCGUGCGAGGCGCAGAGAAUGCAGUCGACGAGUUCUGAUUAUUGAAAGGUCGCUUGCAUCUUGAUUUAAUUUUGAACGAGUGGCGGACGGGUGAGUAACACGUGGGUAACCUGCCCUUAAGUGGGGGAUAACAUUUGGAAACAGAUGCUAAUACCGCAUAAAUCCAAGAACCGCAUGGUUCUUGGCUGAAAGAUGGCGUAAGCUAUCGCUUUUGGAUGGACCCGCGGCGUAUUAGCUAGUUGGUGAGGUAACGGCUCACCAAGGCAAUGAUACGUAGCCGAACUGAGAGGUUGAUCGGCCACAUUGGGACUGAGACACGGCCCAAACUCCUACGGGAGGCAGCAGUAGGGAAUCUUCCACAAUGGACGCAAGUCUGAUGGAGCAACGCCGCGUGAGUGAAGAAGGCUUUCGGGUCGUAAAACUCUGUUGUUGGAGAAGAAUGGUCGGCAGAGUAACUGUUGUCGGCGUGACGGUAUCCAACCAGAAAGCCACGGCUAACUACGUGCCAGCAGCCGCGGUAAUACGUAGGUGGCAAGCGUUAUCCGGAUUUAUUGGGCGUAAAGCGAGCGCAGGCGGUUUUUUAAGUCUGAUGUGAAAGCCCUCGGCUUAACCGAGGAAGUGCAUCGGAAACUGGGAAACUUGAGUGCAGAAGAGGACAGUGGAACUCCAUGUGUAGCGGUGAAAUGCGUAGAUAUAUGGAAGAACACCAGUGGCGAAGGCGGCUGUCUGGUCUGUAACUGACGCUGAGGCUCGAAAGCAUGGGUAGCGAACAGGAUUAGAUACCCUGGUAGUCCAUGCCGUAAACGAUGAAUGCUAGGUGUUGGAGGGUUUCCGCCCUUCAGUGCCGCAGCUAACGCAUUAAGCAUUCCGCCUGGGGAGUACGACCGCAAGGUUGAAACUCAAAGGAAUUGACGGGGGCCCGCACAAGCGGUGGAGCAUGUGGUUUAAUUCGAAGCAACGCGAAGAACCUUACCAGGUCUUGACAUCUUUUGAUCACCUGAGAGAUCAGGUUUCCCCUUCGGGGGCAAAAUGACAGGUGGUGCAUGGUUGUCGUCAGCUCGUGUCGUGAGAUGUUGGGUUAAGUCCCGCAACGAGCGCAACCCUUAUGACUAGUUGCCAGCAUUUAGUUGGGCACUCUAGUAAGACUGCCGGUGACAAACCGGAGGAAGGUGGGGAUGACGUCAAAUCAUCAUGCCCCUUAUGACCUGGGCUACACACGUGCUACAAUGGAUGGUACAACGAGUUGCGAGACCGCGAGGUCAAGCUAAUCUCUUAAAGCCAUUCUCAGUUCGGACUGUAGGCUGCAACUCGCCUACACGAAGUCGGAAUCGCUAGUAAUCGCGGAUCAGCACGCCGCGGUGAAUACGUUCCCGGGCCUUGUACACACCGCCCGUCACACCAUGAGAGUUUGUAACACCUGAAGCCGGUGGCGUAACCCUAAGUCGAACGAACCAGCUCGUAGAGUUAACGUCGGC